rnacentral:piRNA from 4 species
UGCCUAAGGAGGGGUGAACCGGCCC